CGACUUGCCUCUCAUGAAAAGAAAACCAUUUGGGUUCAUCCAAGAAGACUGGGUUUGAUGUCUACUUCUCCAUGGCUAGGGGGAAUGCCACUUUGCCUGCUAUGGAAAUGACCAAGUGCUUCGACAUCAGCUAGUUAGAACUGAAUGGUAACCAUUCUUUUCUCUAUUGGAAGCUCCAUACUUCCACAGGAACUGAUUUGAGCAUGGGAAUGGAGAAGCUUCAGCUUCAAAAUGUUAGCAAGUAUGAACAGCUAAGAGGCAGGAGCAGGAGCACAAAUCAAAAACACAAUUCAAAGUGACAGUGGCACCUAGGUAGAAAAUUUUGCAGCCGAGGUUGUGCAGUUCUUAUGCUGUUGUGUUUUUUUUUUUGUCCAGCAUGAGCAUGCAUAUCUGACAUCUUUUAUUAUUGUUUUUUUUUUUUUUUUUCUUUCUUUUAACCUUCAUCAUCAUCAUCAUCUAAGCCUUAUAGGAGGCAGUCGUCUAAGUC